AUUGGGCCUGUGUUGCCGACUAAGAUAUUUUAUUACAGUGAUCAGUGUCUUCUUCCUUGCUCUUUGAAAUAGAGAGCCUUGUCGCUUCUACAGAUCCUCAAAAUAAAAAAAAAUCACAAAAAUCUGUCUUUUGAGUUUUGAGCGCCAUUUAAAUUUCUUCUUAAAUUGGGUUUUAAGCGCCAUGAAUCUCGAAAAACUCAAACUGUGAAAAAUCGAUGGGUGAUGAUUGAAGAAAACUGCCGAGGCAAAUCGAACCCCUUGAAGCAUAAGAAUUCCUUCUUUAGCGCUUCCGUUUGAUUGCAGUUCGUUGGUUAUUCGCUUCAUGUACUCCUGAGCUAGCCUCAGCGAGCUGUAUUUUAGCUGAAACAAGGAGACAUAGCUCCAUUCUGAUUGAUCUUGUUCCCCAUAUGAGACUCUCUCUUCGUCAGGGCACGAUAAAACUCUACAACUUCUG